rnacentral:misc_RNA from 1 species
AAGACUAUAGACCUGCGGAGUACCUGCGGAAGGAUCAUUAUUGAAUAAUCUUGCCUUGAUAGGUUGUAGCUGGCCUCUUGAGGCAUGUGCACACCUGUCUUGACACUAUUCAUCCACCUGUGCAUUCAUUGUAGUUCUUUAUUUUUGAUAGGUCAAGGAAAGUAAGGCUGCUAAUUCAGUUGAGAUAUACUGGUUUUGAGGAUUGCCUCUUUUGGCUAUCUUCUGUUCUAGCCUAGUGGA